rnacentral:rRNA from 1 species
GACGAACGCUGGCGGCGUGCUUAACACAUGCAAGUCGAACGGAAAGGCCCUGCUUUUGUGGGGUGCUCGAGUGGCGAACGGGUGAGUAACACGUGAGUAACCUGCCCUUUACUUUGGGAUAACUUCAGGAAACUGGGGCUAAUACCGGAUAGGAGCUCCUGCUGCAUGGUGGGGGUUGGAAAGUUUCGGCGGUUGGGGUUGGACUCGCGGCUUAUGAGCUUGUUGGUGGGGUAGUGGCUUACCAAGGCUUUGACGGGUAGCCGGCCUGGGAGGGUGACCGGCCACAUUGGGACUGGGGUACGGCCCAGACUGCUACGGGAGGCAGCAGUGGGGAAUAUUGCACAAUGGGCGGAAGCCUGAUGCAGCAACGCCGCGUGGGGGAUGACGGCCGUCGGGUUGGAAAGCGCUUUCGCCUGUGACGAAGCGUGAGUGACGGUAAUGGGUAAAGAAGCACCGGCUAACUACGUG